UGGGGAAUAUUGGACAAUGGGGGGAACCCUGAUCCAGCGAUGCCGCGUGUGUGAAGAAGGCCUGCGGGUUGUAAAGCACUUUAGUUGGGGAGGAAAGGUAUGUACUGCAUAAGUGCAUGCUGUGACGUUACCCAAAGAAUAAGCACCGGCUAACUCUGUGCCAGCAGCCGCGGUAAUACAGAGGGUGCAAGCGUUAAUCGGAAUUACUGGGCGUAAAGCGCGCGUAGGUGGUUUGUUAAGUUGGAUGUGAAAGCCCCGGGCUCAACCUGGGAACUGCAUCCAAAACUGGCAAGCUAGAGUACGGUAGAGGGUGGUGGAAUUUCCUGUGUAGCGGUGAAAUGCGUAGAUAUAGGAAGGAACACCAGUGGCGAAGGCGACCACCUGGACUGAUACUGACACUGAGGUGCGAAAGCGUGGGGAGCAAACAGGAUUAGAUACCCGCGUAGUCCCUGAGCGGGCUGGCAAGGCGCAU
rnacentral:rRNA from 1 species